UGUACAGCAUCCUGGAGGCAGCCCAGCUCUCUGGAUACCCUAGAUGUCCACAGGGGACAUAUGCCCUCCCUGACUUCGGCUGGGCCAGGGCUGGUGGGGGGAGGGGUGGCAGCUGACAGGCUCAGAGCUCUGAUCUGGUCAACCUGCCAGCUCCCCUUGUGAUGAGAGUAAAGAUGCUGAUAAGUCCCUGUUGCAGUUGUGGCUGACUCAGCCUAGGACAUUAAGGGCCAGCUGUUAGGUGAAGAAAGAGGGUGGAAGUGGAUCUUGGUGACCCUGGCCUGGCUACUUGGCGGGCUGUUGACGGGGGGUCUGCUUGCCCUGGCCUGGUCUGGAGAGGGAGGGUGGGGUCACUUCAGUGACAUGUGUUCUGACUGCUCUAUCCCUUGUCCUUGUUGCUGUGGGGGUACUUGCUCCAGGUGUGGGCAAACAAUGCUGCCACCUGCCCUGUCAGCACCCCCAUGCCAGGAGGGAGGCUUGGCUCCACCCGGGGUCCAGGGCUUCCUGGGAAAUCAAGUGCCUCUUCCCCCCAAGACUGAGCGAGGCUCAUUAGCUACAGGCUGAGGCCCUGCUGAUCUGGGUCCUAGGGACACAGCCCCAGCCGCAGGAACAAGGUAACAGUCUAGCCCAGCAGACUCCGUGUGGUGGCCCAGGACAGACGUGUGGCGUUGGGGAUCAGGGGUGUCUUCGUAUGUAUGGAGGAAGGGGGUCAGUGUGGAUAGAUGGGUGGGGCACAGCAGUGAGAAAUCCAGGCGGUGGGUUGUUGGUCACAAGAAGGCCUGUCCAACAGCAGGACCCCCAGGGCAAGGCUAGGCAAUAGCCCCAGAGGGACUCAAACAGCAGCAGGUUAUCCAGACAGGUACCCAGCUGAGGCCCCUCUUCCCAGACUAGGGUGGGGAGGGGGGAAAGUGAAUUCUAUGAACAAGGCAGGAGCCUAGGUCCUAAGCUGAACCUGAAAUGGUUAGAGACUGGAUUAGAAGGAAGAUGUCAUGAUGCCGAGUCCCAGGGAAUUGGCUUAAAGCUCCCCAUUCCCUCCACUUGCCACCAGGAUGGAUCCUAAGGUCCUAGAGGCUGGCACGCUGGUGGUGGUCAGGAGGCCAGGAUGGGCUGAGACUAGCCAGAAACUGAGACCCUGGCUAGGUCAGGCGUCACAGGCCGGAGGCCGAGCUGCAGGUGUCAAGCCCUGUUGUUACCUCGGGGGCACGGUUCUCCCUGCAUAUGCAGCGGUGGCUGAUUGGAAUAGAAACUCAGAAAGGUGACUCAGUUCUCUCCCUAGCGCUGCCCUGGGCUCACCACUCUGCAUGCUUAAAAAACAGCUGCAUUAAAAACAAGAUGUUCCCUCCCUCUUCCCCAUUCAUGCCUACUGAAACUUCAAAACCUAAUUCAAUUCUGCUUAGCAGCAAUACAAAACGGUUCAUAUCCUUAAGAUGCUUAAUUUAUAAGAUGCCUACAGUUAUUCACCAUUCGCCUCGAGGUUUUCUGCCCCUCUGAAUGAGUGGAUAAAGCAGUAACCCAUCAAUUCCCAUUUGUGGCUAAUGGGAAGCGGAAAUGGAUCGAGCCAGAAUCGGCAGUGCCUCAUGGCCUCGGCUCUCCUGACACUUGUUCUCCGGGAGGGAAGCAGAAAGUGGAGCUGACAGAUCUCUCUCUUGGCUGCUACACUGACAACAGAGGGCUUCAAAGGGACCCCUCAUGCUCCCGUGCCCACUCUUGGAGCAUUGGUUGUCCAGUUCUGUCAAGACUCUGCUGGUCCUCAGUUUUGGUUCAUGCCAGGCCACUUCCAGCCGAUUUCCAGCCAGGCGCCCUGCUGGCUGGCAAGGUCAAACGGGGCCUCAUCUCCUGCAGAUCGCGCAAAGCAGAGUUAAGCCAACAAAGAGAAAGAAAAGAAGUGAAGAAUGAAAACAGCAAUGCUGGGACCUGUUUUCCUGUCUCCUUGCUUAUCCUGGGAGCCAGGACCUUUCUAAAAGUCUCCUGAUCCUUCUGGAUGGAAAGGUGCUGAUUACGUGGGCUCCAGAGAGGACCUGGAGUAGGGCAGGGGUGGGAAGAGAACUAGGUCACCGAAACUCAGGGAGCUGCACUGAGCAGCAGGCAACGUGGCACACAGAUGGGUUGUACUGCCGUUGAUGGGGCUGGGGUCUCCAGAGUCCUCCAGGGGCUCCCGGGAAAAGGAGGGGCCGCUCCUCCUCCCCCCUUCCCAGGGGCUCCUUCCCCCUGAAUUUGCUUUUUUCUGGGAUUUCUCCCAACUCCCAAGCCUCAGAAUAGAUGGCUGUGAGAGUGAGGCUGCAUGAAGGGACCAGGGAUCUCAGAGAUAAAUUACUCCUCCCACUCCAUCCUCAGCCCUACUUGUUCGUUGGUGACAAUAUGGAUGUUUGUAAAGAGGCGGCCGAACCCAUUACCCUGCCUUGGGACUGCUGUUUUUCAUUCAAUGGAAGCGCAGGGCGGGAGAUACGGCCAAACUGUCUAUUACAGUGUCUGGUGCUUACCCCCAGAAUGAGGUUUUGGGUAAGAGAAAAGGAUGUUAUUUAUGACUGUGAGGCUGCCCGCAUAAAUUCCCCAAACUCUCACACAUAUGUCAGCCCCCUUCAGUCAUCUGUCUUCUGGAAAUGUCUUUUGAUUUUGCUUCUGUCCCUCUGGGUCCUCUGAGUGAUGACUGUGGGAGCUGCAAGUUAAUAAAUGCUCUCAGAAGACCCCACCCCGUCUCUACAGCCGGCCAUUACUUAAAGGGAUCAUCGUAAGGUCUUAGAGCCAUAAAGGAGUCUAAGGAUCCCGUUUUCCACCCUGCUCCUCUCACAGAUGAGGAAGGACGCCCGAAGAGGGCAGUGAUUUGGCCAAUGUCACAUAGCAAGUAGGUGGCCGUGCUGGUGGCAGUCAGCACUAGAGCCCAGAUCCUUGACUCCUGUUGCAGUGCUCUCCUUGCUGCCCACCAACGGGCUCCCUUAGCCACUGGGGAAGCAGACUCACCUUCAACAGUAUGUGGGGGUCAUGGUCUCUUGUAGUUUUCUCCCAUCCUGUUUCUGAUACUAGCAAACGUUACCCUUGCCCCGAACACAUUAAAAACUGAAGAAGUAUUUACCAGCUGAAUGAAUGCUAGGCUUUCCAGCCUGCCUCCCGUUACUCCUUCCCUGGCUGCUUCUUUCUGCCCCACUGAAUUCCUCACUGUCCCAAAUAUACCAGGAGGUUUCCUCCAAGCUGUAGUCAUCCCCUCCUCCUCCGCUGGCGUAGUUGGCUUAAACAGCUCUUCCUCUGAGAAGUCCUUUCCCACCAUCACCCCGUCCUCAUAGGGAGAAAUCCUCUUUUUCUUACCUUUCUCCCAUUGCCUUGCUGCUUACACCUGUUCCAGCACUUCCCAGGCUGUGCUCUAAUUAUUACGGCGUUUUCUGACCAGACUCUGAAUUCCAUGGGAGAGCAGCCAGCUCCCCCAGGGCCCUUCCUCAAGCAUGUCGCUCAAACCUAGUGAGUGUAAUGGGUGGAUGAAUCCGUGGCCUUCGCAAGACCUGAUUCCCCAGGAGCAUAUUUGGUAUCAUCGUUUUAAAGUUCUUUCUUCUGGUCAUACGUCUGCUUACAGAAGGAGACUUAUUGGAGGAGGUGGAAGGGAAAGGAGAAAGAGGAGAAGGAGGAAAUGUCCAUCUAUCUGUCUUACUUAAAAGGGAGAACAGGAAUGGGCUGAAGAUCCUGACUGGGUUCUAAUGGUUUCCCCGUGUGGUGAAGCAGCAAGAGCAUGGAUUUAUUUGACACGCUGCCUUGCGAGGACCCCCAAGCACUUUACAGCUACCAUUUUUUGACUUAGUUGGUUUCCCCCAAUGAGCCGCAAGUCCUGUGGAGAGAAUCUUCAACAUAGAACAUUCAAAUGGGAUAAAGAUGAAGAUAAUAAGAGAAUUAGGGGAGGCACAAGGGGAGAAUAAAAACCACUGGUUUCUUA